AAUUAUUAGAAAAUGCUUGGUAAUUCCCCUGAGGGCCCGUUUGGUUCGAGUUAUGUAAUAUUACAAAGUAUCUCGACAUAUCUAGGUAUAUUGGAUUUCGGCGUGAGAUUACUACUGAUGCUGCAUUAGAGCGUUUGAUUUAAUACAGUAAUGUAAUACUAGAUUACAGUGUUUAUAGUUUUAAUAUGUUUGGUUCAGUUUAUAAAAUUUAGUAAUCCUGACAUAAAAGUAUAGUUUUUUUCAAAAUUGCCCUUGUUGGGGUCAUUUGAAUAUUAUUUUUUACGGAAAUGACGAAUGGAGGGAAGGAGAUCGUGAUGAUUACUUAGGAGGACGACGCAAUAGAAGAUGAUAGGUGUUCGUGCGAGAGAGAGAGAGAGAGAGAGAGCGAGAGAAAGCGGUGUGCGAGAGAGAGGGCCGGGGGGAAGGCGAGAUAGAGAUGAAAAUAAUGCUGUUAAUUAGAUUUGGGGUUGUUGGAGGGUAAAAUUGUCAUUUUACAUAAUAUAUAGUAUUAACGGGUUUCAGUAAUGUAAGAUACACGACCCCCUCCCGUUAAUAUUUUCGAUGUAAUCCUGCUCGAUUUGUAAUGUUACAUUAACGACUAAAUUACAUAGCGGAUUAACCAAACACAAUUAUCCUGGCAGGAUUGCCUGUAAUCCUGCCAGGAUAACUCGAACCAAACACACCCUAAGGGCCUGUUUGUUUCGAGGGGAGUGCGGUGGAAGUGGGACGGGGGAAGUGAUUUUCGGUGAAAACUGACCACUUCCGCUGUUUGGUUCACCAUAAGGGUGCGUUUGGUUCGAGUUAUCCUGGCAGGAUUACAGACAAUCCUGCCAGGAUAACUGUGUUUGGUUAAUCCGUUAUGUAAUCUAGUCGUUAAUGUAGCAUUACAAAUCGAGUAGGAUUACAUCGAAAAUAUUAACGGGAGGGGGGUCGUGUAUCUUGCAUUACUGAAAUCCGUUAAUACUACAUUUUAUGUGAAAUGACAAUUUUGCCCUCCAACAACCCCAAAUCUAAUUAACAGCAUUAUUUUCAUCUCUCUCUCGCCUUCCCCCCGGCUCUCUCUCUCACGCCGCUUUCUCUCGCUCUCUCUCUCUCGACAUCUCUCUCUCUCUCUCCCACGAACACCUAUCAUCUUCUAUUGCGUCGUCCUCCCAAGUAAUCAUCACGAUCUCCUUCCCUCCAUUCGUCAUUUCCACAAAAAAUAAUAUUCAAAUGACCACAACAAGGGUAAUUUUGAAAAAAAACUAUACUUUUAUGUCAGGAUUACUAAAUUUUAUAAACUGAACUAAACAUAUUAAUGCUAUAAACACUGUAAUCUAGUAUUAUAUUACUGUAUUAAAUCAAACGCUCUAAUGCAGCAUCAGUAGUAAUCUCACGCCGAAAUCCAAGAUACUUGGAUAUGUCGAGAUACUUUGUAAUAUUACAUAACUCGAACCAAACGGGCCCUAAUUUUAUUACGCCCGAAAGUCCAGUUCACCUAAAAUAAUGAACUUGACUUCGCCCUUCCAUGGGGCGAAGUCAAUUCCGGUGAAGUGAAAAAAAGGAAAUAAUGGAUUAAUGUGUUAGAGUUACCUCUUCUAAAAUAUGAUCAAAUUUGAUUAGGUAAGCUUUAAUAUAUUUUUUAUUUAAUUUGUACAUUUAGAAAAUGAUGAAAAAUGAAUUUGUUAAAUGUUAAUAAUUUUUUAACUUUAGAAUUUUAUUUGUUGCAUUAUUAUAAUUUAUAUGCAAACAAAUAAUAUAAUUUUUUAAAAUUUUAUUUUAUAAUUAUACAUAUAUAUAUAAUUAUAUACAUAUAUAAUUAUAUUAAUUUUAUUUAUUAUAAUUUAUUAUUCACUAUAAGUUACAAAAUAGACAAUGAUAUCAUUUUGGAGGUAAGUAUACCGGAGGUGGAGAGCUACACUUUUUACGUCAUCUACUUUCUACCAAAUAAACAACAGAACUCGCAGAACUGCACGUCCACAGUUAGAAACAAACAGCAGAAGUGAACUAAUUUUCACCCUAACUUUACUUCAACUCAAAGUCCACUUCCACCCCAAGUCUACUUACGUUGAAACAAACAUGCCCUAAAAGUAAGUAAAUCUUAUAUCACUCCAUUCAUUAACUACAUUGUCAAAAAAAUAUAAAAAUAAAAAUAUUCGUAACCCUUAUUAAUCAAAAUCUUAAACUCUAAGAAUGGUAACUCGAACUAAAAAUAUUGUACUUUUGAUAUUAUGCUGAAAAAUAUGAGUUCAUAGAAAAUGUAAGCGCUCAAAAAAUAAUGCACGCUCCUAAUACUCACAUGUAUUGUCACUGGUGAAAACUUUUAAACUCAUUAGAAAGCAGAAAUUAAAAUAGUUUUGUAGAUAUAAUUUUCUAUAUACUCCUCAAAACUUUAGAAACAUCUUAUUUUUUAUAUAUAUGUUCUUCCGUUAUUUCAAAAUAUCCGUACAGUUAUCAUCUGAUAAAUUAAUUUAGAUUAAACGUGAGUUCAAUAUCUACUAAGGACAAAUAAAAAAAAUUAGUAAUAAUAGAAGAGUAUAUUUGAAAGAAUAAAAUAGUAAUUUCAUAGAGAUAUAUAAUAGCUAUUGCUAACAGUUUAUUAAUAGAAUUUAAUUCUANAUAUAU
rnacentral:lncRNA from 1 species